AAUAUAUCCGGAAGCAACUGUCAUGGCUGCUGUCAGUGAGGGCCCGUAAUGGAGAUCGAGUCAAGGGUUGCCCAGGGACACUUAAGAGCCUUCGGCUUCAAGGAGGCCUCUCAAAGGACAAAGGAUGAGACUGCCUGGCGGCAGAGUGCCCCCCACAAUCGUAGGAACUGUGUCGCCGCGCUUCCCGUUAACUUGCCGCUAAGUUUUUCUAGAAAAGUCGCCCUUCUUGCCAGGGGUGUCCUAUAGACUUUGUCAUGGAGUGAAACAGAAACAAAUGUGAGUUAAUCAUUAACAUUUCCUAGUGGUUAAAAUUACUUUUUAAGCGCUUAACUGUGUAUUUUUUAGAUUGAAGAUUUCAAAUGAAAUUUUGAUUUGACUGAAAUAUUUAAUAUGUGAUGAGUUGAUAUUAAAAUACAGAAGAUUACUAUUUUUAUAGAAACAAUAAUGUAGAAACUAAUAUUUGAAGCAGGUUUACUCCACAUACUGUGUUAUAAUUUAAAUUUUCACUUAAACUCUCAAAAUCAGAAGAGCUGACCUAGUAAGGCUUAAACCUCUAAAACUUGUGGUUUUAACAAGGCUUAAUAUACGUAGUUAUAAUAGUUUUUAAAAAAAUUGUUAUCAAGUUCCUCAGGU
rnacentral:lncRNA from 1 species